rnacentral:rRNA from 1 species
GGAAAUUGACGGGGACCCGCACAAGCGGUGGAUGAUGUGGAUUAAUCGAUGCAACGCGAAGAGCCUUACCUACCCUUGACAUGUCCGGAACUUGCCAGAGAUGGCUUGGUGCCCGAAAGGGAAUCGGAACACAGGUGCUGCAUGGCUGUCGUCAGCUCGUGUCGUGAGAUGUUGGGUUAAGUCCCGCAACGAGCGCAACCCUUAUCAUUAGUUGCUACGCAAGGGCACUCUAAUGAGACUGCCGGUGACAAACCGGAGGAAGGUGGGGAUGACGUCAAGUCCUCAUGGCCCUUAUGGGUAGGGCUUCACACGUCAUACAAUGGUCGGUACAGAGGGUUGCCAAGCCGCGAGGCGGAGCCAAUCCCACAAAGCCGAUCGUAGUCCGGAUUGUUCUCUGCAACUCGAGAGCAUGAAGUCGGAAUCGCUAGUAAUCGCGGAUCAGCACGCCGCGGUGAAUACGUUCCCGGGCCUU